rnacentral:rRNA from 1 species
AUUGAACGCUGGCGGCAGGCGUAACACAUGCAAGUCGAGCGGAGCGGCGGAUGGGUGAGUAAUGCUUAGGAAUCUGCCUAUUAGUGGGGGACAACAUCUCGAAAGGGAAGCUAUUACCGCAUACUAAUAGAAGAGUCUAAGUCGGAUUAGAUUUUUGGAGGGGUAAAGGCCUACCAAGGCUACGAUCCGUAACUGGUCUUAGAGGAUGACCAGUCACACUGGAAAUGAGACACGGUCCAGACUCCUACGGGAGGCCGCAGUGGGGAAUAUUGGACAAUGGGCGAAAGCCUGAUCCAGCCAUGCCGCGUGUGUGAAGAAGGUCUUCGGGUUGUAAAGCACUUUAAGUUGGGACGCGUUACCAACAGAAUAAGCACCGGCUAACUUCGUGCCAGCAGCCGCGGUAAUUC